rnacentral:rRNA from 1 species
CCCUUUGGGUGUGACUGCGUACCUUUUGUAUAAUGGGUCAGCGACUUAUAUUCUGUAGCAAGGUUAACCGAAUAGGGGAGCCGGAGGGAAACCGAGUCUUAACCGGGCGUUAAGUUGCAGGGUAUAGACCCGAAACCCGGUGAUCUAGCCAUGGGCAGGUUGAAGGUUGGGUAACACUAACUGGAGGACCGAACCGACUAAUGUUGAAAAAUUAGCGGAUGACCUGUGGCUGGGGGUGAAAGGCCAAUCAAACCGGGAGAUAGCUGGUUCUCCCCGAAAGCUAUUUAGGUAGCGCCUCGUGAAUUCAUCUCCGGGGGUAGAGCACUGUUUCGGCUAGGGGGCCAUCCCGGCUUACCAACCCGAUGCAAACUGCGAAUACCGGAGAAUGUUAUCACGGGAGACACACGGCGGGUGCUAACGUCCGUCGUGAAGAGGGAAACAACCCAGACCGCCAGCUAAGGUCCCAAAGUCAUGGUUAAGUGGGAAACGAUGUGGGAAGGCCCAGACAGCCAGGAUGUUGGCUUAGAAGCAGCCAUCAUUUAAAGAAAGCGUAAUAGCUCACUGGUCGAGUCGGCCUGCGCGGAAGAUGUAACGGGGCUAAACCAUGCACCGAAGCUGCGGCAGC